rnacentral:rRNA from 1 species
AACGAACGCUGGCGGCGUGCCUAACACAUGCAAGUCGAGCGCGAAAGUCCCUUCGGGGGCGAGUAGAGCGGCGGACGGGUGAGUAAUACAUGGAUAAUCUGCCCUCGAGAUCGGGAUAACCCUGCGAAAGUGGGGCUAAUACCGAAUAAGACCACACAACACAAGUUGUGUGGUAAAAGGUGGCUUGAAUUUAUUCUGGCUAUCACUUGAGGAUGAGUCCAUGGCCUAUCAGCUUGUUGGUGGGGUAAUGGCCUACCAAGGCUAUGACGGGUAGCUGGUCUGAGAGGACGACCAGCCACACUGGGACUGAGACACGGCCCAGACUCCUACGGGAGGCAGCAGUGGGGAAUAUUGGGCAAUGGGCGAAAGCCUGACCCAGCGACGCCGCGUGGGUGAUGAAGGCCUUCGGGUUGUAAACUCCUUUUCUCAGGGAAAAGGAUGAUGGUACCUGAGGAAUAAGCCCCGGCUAACUACGUGCCAGGCAGCCGCGGUAAAGCUACGUAGAC